UUGAAUGCAAAAAGGUGAAUUAUGCAUAAUAUUGAAGAAAUGAUAUACAAAACAUUUUCAACAUGGUACAAGAAAUAUUUGUUAGACAUGAAUUUCGUAAGACGGUUUAAGAUGGUGUAGUUAUAAGUGAAUUUUCAUGAGACAUAUAGAAUUAUCCGCCAUAAAAUUAUCUUUUGUAUUGUUUUUUAUAGUUUGCAAAUGAUCUAACUAACCAUCGUAAGGAAAAUUAUAUAUAGUGAAAUAACAAUUUUUGUUUUUAUUCUAUAUUUUGAGAAGGACUAUUUUACAAAAGUAUAUGAAAGUAAACUUAAUUUCUAUUAUAGAAUUUUUUAUGUAAAAAGUAGCAAAAAUACAUGUAUGAUGAGCAUUUCUAAUAUAUAAC
rnacentral:lncRNA from 1 species